UACGUAGGGUGCAAGCGUUACUCGGAAUUACUGGGCGUAAAGCGUGCGCAGGCGGUUGUGCAAGACCGAUGUGAAAUCCCCGGGCUUAACCUGGGAAUGGCAUUGGUGACUGGCAGGCUUUGAGUGUGGCAGAGGGAGGUAGAAUUCCACGUGUAGCAGUGAAAUGCGUAGAGAUGUGGAGGAAUACCGAUGGCGAAGGCAGCCUCCUGGGCCAACACUGACGCUCAUGCACGAAAGUGUGGGGAUCAAACAGG
rnacentral:rRNA from 1 species